rnacentral:rRNA from 1 species
UGGGGAAUAUUGCACAAUGGGCGCAAGCCUGAUGCAGCCAUGCCGCGUGUAUGAAGAAGGCCUUCGGGUUGUAAAGUACUUUCAGCGAGGAGGAAGGCGUUGUGGUUAAUAACCGCAGCGAUUGACGUUACUCGCAGAAGAAGCACCGGCUAACUCCGUGCCAGCAGCCGCGGGAAUACGGAGGGUGCAAGCGUUAAUCGGAAUUACUGGGCGUAAAGCGCACGCAGGCGGUCUGUCAAGUCGGAUGUGAAAUCCCCGGGCUCAACCUGGGAACUGCAUCCGAAACUGGCAGGCUAGAGUCUUGUAGAGGGGGGUAGAAUUCCAGGUGUAGCGGUGAAAUGCGUAGAGAUCUGGAGGAAUACCGGUGGCGAAGGCGGCCCCCUGGACAAAGACUGACGCUCAGGUGCGAAAGCGUGGGGAGCAAACA